rnacentral:rRNA from 1 species
UACAGAGGUCUCAAGCGUUGUUCGGAUUCAUUGGGCGUAAAGGGUGCGUAGGUGGCGCUGUAAGUCGGGUGUGAAAUUUCGGAGCUUAACUCCGAAACUGCAUUCGAUACUGCGGUGCUUGAGGACUGGAGAGGAGACUGGAAUUCAUGGUGUAGCGGUGAAAUGCGUAGAUAUCGUAAGGAAGACCAGUGGCGAAGGCGGGUCUCUGGACAGUUCCUGACGCUGAGGCACGAAGGCCAGGGGGAGCAAACGGGG